UGAGUAGGGCCUUUUAUGAAUAAAUUAUUAAAAAAAAAAAAAAAAAAAUUGCCAUUCGAAAAAAACAUCCUAAUUUUGACAAUUGACACUUGACUCGGAGCAAAUAACUUGACGUUUCAAAAUUCACAUUUCCAAUUUCCAUUUUCCACCACCAGUCACGCCAGUCACCACCAAGUCACCACUCACCACUAAAAGCAGCCUCCAGUGGCAGCCUCAGCCUCAGCCUGCAGCUUGCACUGUGCAGUAAAAUUGUGAGGACUGAGGCGUGGUGAUAAUUUCAACCUUGACGAUGUUUCGACUACCUUUUGGAGAGCGAGUAGACCCAAUGGAGGAGAAACGACAAGCAAGAGCGAACACAAUCAAUAGUGUCGUGACCUUUUGCGUUAUUUGCGCCGCUAUCCGAAUAGCGCCCCUUAUAAUAGAACACAGUGGAUUCUAAGGAAGUACCCACUUCAAUUCAAGCUGUUAUUAGUUGCAGAAAGGUGUGGCGAUUACAAUGAAGAGUGAUGUGUAUACUAGACAAUGUAAAUGUAUAGGUAUUUGUGUUUGUGGAGCAUAACAAGAAAUAAAUAAGAUCCAACACAAUGUAAUAAAUUA